UGGUUUUUCCAUUUUCUUCAUUCCAAGACCAGGAAUCAUGUCCAAUAACAUGGCAUGAACUGGAUCAACCAUAACUUCAAGUUUCUCAGAGUUCUCUUUCUCCUUCCCAUAUUGCCCUUCACCCUUUGCAAUAUUAGGAGUUUUAUCGAACCACUCGUCUCUUUGACCUUCACAGAUUUCAACAUCAGAAGAUUGAUCCUCUCUCCUUUCAGUAACUUCGUUCUCAGCACUCAUGUAUGAAUUGUUUUCAUCUGAUUCAUAUUCACAUAUUUUAGCAGGCUUUCCAACGCGUGUCUGUGUUUUUCGAGCUCUGCUAAUGCCUGCUUUUCCUUUCUUCACACUCCUGCCAGCAAGUCCCCCUCUUUUCCGUUUCACAUCUCUCUUGGGCGAGGCUGAUAUACUAGCAUGUUCAAAGGAAGUUCUGCCUUGCUCUUCUGUUUGGCAGCCAGGAAAAGAUGGAAGUUUCUGGUCGUUAUCCAGAUCAUAAUUGCUGGGCAAGGAAGAGAACAGAAUAAAAGUGUUAAGUCCUGAAAUAGAAUAAAUUUUGAUCACAGGAUGUGUAUAGUUCAGAUAUAGUCAUUAUCAAAGAUGGUCACUUAUAAGCAAAAGCAAAUUUUCAAUCUUUA